GUCCCCAGUGACCUGCUUCCUCUAAUCUGACCCAUUUCCUACUUUUCACCAUCUCCAGCAAUGCCACCACAGUGGGACUAUGACAAACUCCUCAGACUCCUGUGGCUUCUCACAAGCCUGACCGUCCACUGGUAACCAAGCCUUUAACAUAAGAGCCUUUGGGAGAGCGUUACAUCUAGACUAUAGUCAUCAUACAGGCGAAAAACGAACGAACCAAUAAUCAAAUUAGAUGACCACCACUGCUCUGCCUAUCUGUAUAUUUGCCGGAGCAACAUUCCUUUCCUAUUUCCAUUUAAACAUAUCACUCCUUGGAAUGCCUUCCCACAAUGCUCCUCCCUUUCAGUUCUGUGAUGAAGUUUCCCCAACUUACACCCAGCUGUAUUCUGGCCAAUCUGCUGUACUUGAGAACCAAGUCACAAGUCCAACUUUCUCCGCAUGCCUUUUGUGCCAUCUUGCUGAGAUCAUGUAGCUCCAUCUACCGACUUUAGUACGUUACAUACUACUUGGGUUUAUUUUCCUGUAGCCUUUUCCAGACUACAAGCUCGUAGAGAAAAGCAACCAUGUCGGAGAUCUUUACCACGCACACAGUAGACGAUAAUCUUCUAGACUAAACGACACGUGGUUGCUUGGUGUACCUGGUACUUAAUAAACAUUUGCUUGGUGAAUAGCUACUGCAUUUCAUAUUAUAAAAAUUGCCUAUUUUAAUAUUCUUUAGUUAUCGAGAUUAAUAUCUAUUGUUACCUCAAGUUAAAUAUAAUUGACCUCGAAAUUUUAAGCAUAGUAUUUUUCUCUCUUGCAAAAAUUAGAGUUGCAACAUUCAUUUCUUCCUUUUGUUUCCUCAGGUCUCAUCUACCAUUUGCAACUGACCUCUUCUGCAAAGGACUUCAGAAACCUAGCACUACCCUGGCUCUGCAAACACGGUUCUCUAGGUGAAGCCUCUGCAGUGGUUUGCAGAAGUACUCAGACGAAUGAACCACAGUAGUUCUGCUGAUUCUGAGGACGUAGUUUAGAGACUGAAUUCUUUGGAAAGGACAUAGGGACGAUUUGCACAUUUGCUUGCACAUCACACACACACACACACACACACACACACACACACCCACACACACACACUCUCUCUCGAUACCUUAGGAUAGGGUUCUACCCUGUUGCUCAGUGACAAAGAAUCACUCUGUGGCGGAGGCAGGCUUCAAGCUUGCAGCAAUCCUCCUGCACCAGUUUCCUGAGUGCCAGACUUCCAGGUGUAAGCUAUGGCACUUAGCAGAACACUAGCUGAAUCAAUGAAGACACUGAGGUUCCAAGAGGGAACCUGAAUUAUGAAGGUGAGUCAGAAUCCAGAUUUCCUGGCUCUACCACUCUUAACCUGUAUCUGUUAGACCCCAAGCUCUGAGCUCAUAGACAAGCUAAUUUAAAAUGCUUUUAAUAAGCAGAAGGCUCAGUUAGUACGGGGUUCAGGAUACUGCUUACUGGCAAUAUUUGACUAGCCUCUAUUUUGUUUGUUUUUUAAGGCCUACUGACUGUAGUGUAAUUUGUAGGAAACAUGUUGCUAUGUAUACCCAUUUGAGGGUAAUAAAAAUGUUGGUAAUUUUCAGCCAGCACUUUCCAGGUAUUUCCCUUUUUAUCCUUCAUGUCCUUAAAAGAAACCAGAGUCAACCAGAAUUAACUGCUUUUGUUGUCUAAGAUGAAUGUAUGCCUUUUAUACUUCAAAGCAAAAGUCAAGUUGGAGGCACAGUUCGUAACUUACUCGUUCAUAUUGAACUUAUAAUGAAUGUCUUUAGGCAACUUUGCCCUUUUACACAGUUCUUGAUAUAGUUCUUAUUUCAAAUGAGAUUAUUUACUGAGUAAUCAUCUGUCCUCACAUAAACAACUUAAGUGAUACUAGCCUUACACAGAACUUCCUCAGAUUCCUGGAAGUGGCUUUUGCUCUUUGGUAUAGAUCUGCUACAGUGGAAUUGAAAAAUAAAAUGUACGUUAGACACACUUGCCUGUAAUCCCUGCACUCAGUAUACUGAGGCUGAAGAACUGAAUUCCAGGUAGCAUGGCCUGGAUAGUAAGAUCCUGUCUGAAACCCACUCCUCCAUCAAUGUGCCCCAAAGAAAUGGAAAACAAGAAGCAGCUAACUGCUGCUUCUAUACUGAAGGUUCCCUUUUCUCUGAGAUGUAAUCCACAACCUACAAGACCAGCAGUGAGCUUAAGUCAAGACAAUCAGAUAUUCUAGUCUGAAUUUAUAGGAGGACAUCGAAUGGCAGCCAAACUUCUCAACGGGACCAGAAUCUGUUGUAUGCCCAGGAAACAGGUCCAUUUUUAUGUGGGUGCUCUCAGAACCAAGCCACUAAAGAAAACAAAGUGGUGGACUGACAAAAAGCUAACAAGACAUUGAAAGCCACACCAAAGAAAAACCAGGAGGGCGGGGGAAGUAAGCUGCAGCAUUUAAUCAGUGGUGAUCGGGCUCACCACGAGACUUCAAAAACAGUUAGUGACAAAAAGGAUCAAUCAAAGGGAAACUUAGAAAAGUAAGUUAUGUUAAAUUAUUGAUUACAUUUGAUAAGCGUUAGUUGUUUUUUUUAAGAUUUAUACUUUUUAUUAUUCAGGUGUUUUCUUUUGCUAAAGUAAUUUUUAAAAACUGUUUAGUUUUAUAAUUUUUAAAGAUUUUUGCCUAUGUUAUUAUAAAUAAAACAAUG
rnacentral:lncRNA from 1 species